CGCAAUCUGUGAUGACAUUUCUGUAAUAUUCUGAUUGAAUGUGAUUAUUAUCCUUCAAAUCACCAUCUUUCGGCUGAGAUUGCA